AACCUCAUUAAAACGCGCUUGUGCCUAAAUUGUCUAAUAACAAUUAUUAGACAAUAAAUGUCUAAUCAGGAUUGUGGGUUAGAGUCCCACUCUAAGGGAGACAGUAUGAAAGGUUCAAUCCGUUGUCUGGGAACUAAGAUCCCACAAGCCGCACAGCGCGGCCAAAAAAAAAGUUAUAACCACCGAGGUACCCAAAAGAUCCGGUUAGAAUCCCAGGCCUUUGGAUUUCUCGGUCUAUGUCUGACUGUUUUGUUUGUUAGGAAUUGGCUAAUAGGGUUAACUAUUGGAUGACCACAGAAAAACUUUAUUGAAUCUGUUUUAUGUCAUUUUGCUGUGGUCAUCCUGAGAAAAAAAUACUUCCAAGAUGGGGAAUGAUAACAGCGUACCAGACGGCACUCCCUUGAAAAGUGUUCUUUGAGGUUGGUCAAUGUUUACCUCUAAUGAUGAAAGAGGUAUGAAAAAAAAGAAAAUGAUUUUCUUUUGUAACACUGCCUGGCCCAAAUAUCUACUGGAGUCAGGGGAAAAAUGGCCCCCAAAUGGGUCUUUGAACUAUAAUACUAUUAUACAGUUAGACUCGUUUUGUAAGAGAGAGAAAAAAUGGGACGAAAUCCCGUAUGUAGACUCAUUUAUGUCUUUAUAUAAGAGGAGAAAUAUGCAUAAGGCAUUUAUUGAUAAAAUGAUGGGUCAGAGGGAAGAACCUCACAAAAAGCCUGUUUUACCCGAGUCAAAGUCUAAUGACGAUCUAGUCCCUCCGUCUGCACCUUUUGCAGUAGCCGGACUGUGGGCACUUCCUACGGUAGCCCCUCCCUCAGCACCUCUUGUGGUUCCCGCGAAUCCUGAAGGGGAUCUUCCUGCAGGCAGUGCCAAGACUUUUACCAGUCCUCCUAGGGCUGCUGGUCCGGCUCUGUACUCGCCCUUAGCAGAUGGUCAACAAGGAAUGGUCUACCCUCCCUGUACCCUCCAGGGUAUUCAGUUUGGCCCAGGGAACACUCGACUGUAGGCGGGACAAUUUCCGUUAAGGCAGGUCCCAGCAGGCUUGGAUGACCAAGGCCAAUCCAGAGCACUUGGAAUCAUGUAUCAUCGUUUAUCAGUCAUAGAUUUCCUUAAUUAUAAAGCUAAAAUGCCAUCUUAUCAAGAUGAUCCUAGGAAUAUGGAGAAUCUCUUUACAUAUAUUUUUGCUGUUUUUCAUCCUAACUGGGCUGACAUACAGACCCUCAUGUGUAUCCUACUCAGUCCAGAGGAACGCAGCAUGAUUUAGAGAAGGCCUUCCAGGAAGCCAAAAGGCUUCAUGAAUUAAAACCAAAUAAUCCAAUCAGAACUCCAGCAAAGCAGGCCAUCCCUGGAACUGAACCAGAAUGGGAUCCCAGUGACCCAGGGGAUCAAGCAAGGCUGAAUCAUUAUAAAGAUUGUUUAAUAACUGGACUGCAGAAAGGGGCAAACAGCUUCAAGAGGGUCCGGAAUGUACAGCCAGGGCCUGAGGAGGGCCCAUUCACCUUCCUUGAAAGGCUUUAUGAGGCUUUCCGAAGAUACACUGAUGUUGAUCCGGAACACCCAGAUGACGUGGGACUGGUCAAUUUAAACUUUAUCGGUCAGAGUGCCCCAGAUAUAAGAAAAAAACUAGAACGACUGGAAGGGGGAUCAUGGACACCAACGUCUCAGUUGGUCCAGAUUGCUUUUGAAGUGUUCAAAGGCUGAUACGAAAUUUGGGAAAAGCAGGAGCAAUGCAUCGAGCAUUGCAUCGUGAGGCAGGUUGCUCUGCUCAGCUGUAACCAGUCAAAACCCAGCAGGACGUCUGCAGGAGAGAACAGACGACCACGGGUAAGACCCUGGGGACCUCCAAAACCCAGCCGGAAAGGGCAUCCAUCUGUUGGGCCACAACAGUGUACCUUUUGUAAACAGGAAGGGCACUGGAAAAGGGAGUGUCCCCAAAACAGACAGGGCCCCCUCUCCCCCAAGAUAACAUCCAUUACUGGUGUAUCUGGGGAAGUCUCUCAGAAACCUUUUCUACAAUGGCUUGAAUGUCAUGUAGAGAAAACACAUGUAAAGUACAGCUUUGUGUAUGUGCCUGGAUGUCAUAGUCCCUCAUCAGGGCAAGAGGUACUAACAAAUUUAAAUGACCAAGUGGGUUUCUCAGCAGAAAAAGUAGACACCAAAGUACUCCCAGGUCAAGACUGCGCCCUCCAAGCUGCGCCAUUACAAUUGGGAGACAAGCCUCAACCAGAUGUCCCUGAAGAAAUUCUUAAAAAGACAUUCCUGUGCACUGCAUAAGCCCAGGGAAUUGGGUCCUCCUCAAACUUGGAAAAAUGACUGCCCUGAGGAUCAACUGCAACCCAAGUGGAUUGGAGCCUAUGAAGUCCUUCUGGUUACACAUUCUUCAGUAGAGCUGAAAGGAGUUAAACCUUGGAUACACCCCUCCAGAGUAAAAAUAGUACCCAUUUCUAACCAGCACCCCCCUUGUCCCCUUUACAGUUCCCAAACAGGGCACGCGCUCCAUGGACAGGAGGAAGUAGGAGGACCCAACCUUCCUAACACUAGAGGGGCCUGGAAACCCACUACUGAUUUCUCGGCCCCUAAUUACACUUGUAAACCCUUAACUGAACUUAAGUUACUUUUCAAAUAGAAACAGGACAGCUAAGUCUCCACCUGGUCAGGAAGAGAAGACGAGGACAUCUUGAAAGUAGACAGCUCCACCUAGAAGUCUGGACCAGGCUGAUAUAAAUCCAAAUUCAGUCACUAAGAAUGUUAAAAAUAACAUGUUUUCACUGGUUCCCAAAGAAUAAGGUCUGUUUUUGGAGGACUGUUAAAAUUAGGAAUCAUAGUUCUGUGUAUCAUGGGGUUAAUCUUUUUACUCACCAAAUUUUUUACUUAUUGUCUAUCUCAUAUAUUUAAAAAGGCCUCCCCCACUCACAUGUUGAUUGCCCAAGACUUAAGCGUUCAAAGUGGGACUCGUGAAUAUUUACAAUCAAGUGCAAAAACAAUUUCAUUCCUCUUAUAAAAAUCUAUGCCCCUUCUCAGCAGGAAGCAGCUAGAGCGGUCGUCGCCCUAUUUCCCUUAAGAUUGAGGAAUGUACAAAGUAAAAGGGGGGCACUAAAACAGCACAUAAAAUAUUGACCUGCUUAUCCUGGUUUUGUCUCAAAUAGGUUGUUGACUAAUCAAAUCUUGAGUUAUUCUACAGAGACAGCACUCCCAUGUGCAAGACAGGAACCCAUGUCUCCAGGAUGACACCAGAACCAAGAAUCUUCAGUCUGCAGAACUCAAACAAUAGACAUGUUGCUACUGGAGCCCUUUACCAAGCAAGAAGUUCUUCAGUAAGAAAAAUCCAGCUUCCAGCUGCCCAAAUAGCUUGAUUCCAAUCAGCUUCUGACUGUCAACACUAGUCAAUAAGCUUGUGAAAUUCUUCUAACUUACAUUUUGCCCUGAACACUGGACAGGGAGACAGAUUUGAGCCCUGCCUCCUGUCGGUUGACUCACAAUAAAAUGCUUUCUUUUCUUAAAA